rnacentral:ncRNA from 1 species
GUAGCGGUCAUGGCGAAAUGGGAUGAACCAUACGUCUGAAUAAGGUGCCGAAAUGUACUAUCACUGAUACCAUAAAGGGAGUCCAUGUAUUUAGACAGCAGGUCGGUGCCCCUAAAAGCAGGUAUCCGCUAAAGAGUGUGUUAAAACUCACCUGCCGAAUACUAGGGCCCCGAAAAUGAAUGGCGCAUAUAGUACUACCGAUCUCAGACAUCAGUUCUAUUGAACUGAGAGUAGGGGGAUGUGGACAUUUUUGUGAAGGUGCAAUGUGAGUUGGACUGGAAGAAUGUCUAUUACAGAUCCUAAUUGAAGUAGCGAUUAUCCAGGCUUGUAUCCUGGGGGCUGAUGAGGAGUAGGGUUUCUGGACAACUUAAACAGAUCCAGAGUUAGUCGAUCCUAAUCUCAAUAAUGGGAGAAAGGGAGUACAGUUGAUAUUCUGUAACUGACAACAGUUCGCGGCAACGCAUACUAUUUUUCUCCGCCAAUCUUAUACCGUUGGUAGGGAUCUCUUUCCUACAUGACAGUACUAAUACCCAGGGAAACUGGUCAUCAGGCGAACUGCGGCGUUCUGCUGGCAAAACAUAGCUUCGGUUAUGUCAAUGGCUAUUGGAUUGGUCCAUGAAGCGAAAAAUAGUUUACUGUGUCACUCGUACCGAUAACCGCAUCAGGUCUUCUAGGUAAGUAGCCUAUGGCCAUUGAGGCAUGAUAGUUCAGGGAAUUCGGCCAAUUAGAGCUGUAACUUCGGGAUAAAGCUUGGCUCUGAUGAAAAUCAGAACCGAUUGUUACGCGGAGAGCCCAACUGUUUAAUAAAAACGUAGUGUCGCGCUGUGGUAGUAUAGCCAGUGAACGCGACAUGAAUCCUGCUCAGUGCUGUGUCUGUUAAUAUGGUUCAAGCCAACGAAGCACCGGUAAAUAGCUGGGGUAACUAUGACUCUUAUCAAAGUAGCGAAAUACCUCGUCA